UCCUUUGGGUUGUGGGGAUA
rnacentral:miRNA from 1 species